AGUGAUGCUAGAGUCACAUCUUGACACUGUCGUGUUGCCCUGAUGUGCUACAGCUGCUUGAAUAGUGAAGCCUGAGCCUAUUCACUGACCGGGUCUUUGUGGUUCAGCCAUUCUCCAGCUCAGACACAUAU